rnacentral:lncRNA from 1 species
CAGAUUUUCUUCAAAUAAUUUUAUGCAACCAAUCCAAGCGCACAUCUAACUAAGCAAAGGGGUGAAUCCAAUCCUAUUCUCUAACCUUCCUUUGCGAUGACCUUAGCCAACCGCUCAUCAUUCCACCAAGCACGUAUUGCUCGGCUGAUUUGCAUAAGACCGGAAUGCUGAAGAUGAAACCACAUUCCUCGUGCCACUUAAUAGCAAUGAAAGAACGUCUAAUCGUUCUAUUCGGUAGACGUCUCUGAUCAUCUCGACUACUAUUUUGCGAGGCUUGGAAUUGUAUGAAUUUCUUCUCUGAUGGAUGCUAAAGGGUUAAUAGUUGAUGAUUGUUCAACGAAGAAAACGUUCUUUCACGCGAGGUCAGAGAAGAAAAGAGGGCAGUAAAGAUCAAGGAGCCCCAUUAAAUUCGAAGCAGAUGCAUAUAAAAGAAAUAUGCCCAUUUCAUAAAUUACAUGAUAAUAUAAACCGAAAUUACUGAUCCAACCUUAUGUAAUCGUGAAUUUGAUGGGCCAAAAUGUAAGUCUGAAAGAAGGUAAAUCUAAAGAGGAAUUCUUGAAUUCUUUUGUCAUAAUCAAUCUUCUUUUAUGGACAUUCAAAUCAAAUAUUGAUGAAUUUUUGAAUGAAUAUUAAACUGAUAAAACGAAUAUGAA